rnacentral:rRNA from 1 species
GAGUUUGAUCUUGGCUCAGAUUGAACGCUGGCGGCAUGCCUUACACAUGCAAGUCGAGCGGCAGCGCGGGGGCAACCCUGGCGGCGAGCGGCGAACGGGUGAGUAAUACAUCGGAACGUGUCCAGUAGCGGGGGAUAACCUCUCGAAAGAGAGGCUAAUACCGCAUACGACCUACGGGUGAAAGCGGGGGACCGCAAGGCCUCGCACUAUUGGAGCGGCCGAUGUCGGAUUAGCUAGUUGGCGGGGUAAAAGCCCACCAAGGCGACGAUCCGUAGCUGGUCUGAGAGGACGAUCAGCCACACUGGAACUGAGACACGGUCCAGACUCCUACGGGAGGCAGCAGUGGGGAAUUUUGGACAAUGGGGGCAACCCUGAUCCAGCCAUGCCGCGUGAGUGAAGAAGGCCUUCGGUUGUAAGA